UCGAUAAACAGGGCCGUGCCGCAGAUGCCCACCGGAAUGGAGAAGGAAGAGGAGUCGGAACAUCAUCUUCAGCGGGCUAUUUCAGCACAGCAGGUGUAUGGCGAGAAGAGGGAUAAUAUGGUUAUACCGGUCCCAGAGGCGGAAAGUAAUAUUGCUUACUAUGAGUCUAUAUAUCCUGGAGAAUUUAAGAUGCCAAAGCAGCUCAUUCACAUACAGCCUUUUAGUUUGGAUGCUGAACAGCCUGAUUAUGAUUUGGAUUCUGAAGAUGAAGUAUUUGUGAAUAAACUGAAAAAGAAAAUGGACAUCUGCCCAUUGCAAUUUGAGGAGAUGAUUGACCGCCUAGAAAAAGGCAGUGGUCAGCAGCCAGUCAGUCUGCAGGAAGCCAAACUACUGCUAAAAGAAGAUGAUGAACUAAUUAGAGAAGUUUAUGAAUAUUGGAUUAAAAAGAGAAAAAACUGUCGAGGGCCAUCUCUUAUUCCAUCAGUAAAACAAGAGAAGCGAGAUGGUUCCAGCACAAAUGAUCCUUAUGUGGCUUUUAGAAGGCGUACUGAAAAAAUGCAGACUCGGAAAAAUCGCAAAAAUGAUGAAGCCUCUUACGAAAAAAUGCUUAAGCUGCGACGAGAUCUAAGUCGAGCUGUUACUAUUCUAGAGAUGAUAAAAAGAAGAGAAAAAAGUAAAAGAGAGCUAUUGCACUUAACACUGGAAAUUAUGGAAAAGAGGUAAUGUAUAUUUUAAUAAUGUUAGAGGAGGUAUAGUGCCAUUAACAUUUUGUAUAUUGAGUUAAUUUAUUUCCUAUGCAAUCUAAUUACAGAAAUACCUUUUUUUAAUAAUAGAGACUUUAAAUAUGUGGUAUGAUACUUUUUAUACUUUUACAUGUUUUCCUCUAUUUAAAAGUGACUGGAUUCACUUAAGUUAAAACAUACCAAGUAUUUCCAUUUCAAAGGGGUCUUUUUUGGUCCUUGAGUUGCAUGUAGGACUUAAGUUAAUUGAUAGUACUGCUGCUUUUUUAAUGCAUAUAAAAUUUAAGACACUGGAUUGUUAAAUAGAAAAGGGUAAAGAAAGAGGGGGAAAGGCCCAUAUAUCUUAACACUCAAGCAUUUGGCAAGGUACACAGUGAAAACUUAAAAAAAAAACUCUGCCCUAUUUCUAGUCCCUAUCCCCAAAGAAAACCACUUUUAAAUUUCUUGUGAUUACUUUUAGAAAAAUCAGUUUUAAAGCCCAGGCAAUUCUAAUUAGCAGAAAGAUCCUUAGCACCAUUUUAGGCAUUACUUUCAACUUCUUCACCAAAUCUUUCACCAAAAUUGCUACGUUAAAAUUCCAGCUUUUGAUUUUUUCCCCACAGUCCUCUAUUUAUGUGCCAUGAUAAAGCUAUAAGCCAAAAAAGUAAAAGGAAGAAACAAAAGGAAUUAUGUAAUCUUUAAGAGAAAUUGAAUAGUCAAAGUUUAACUACAAUCUUGCCUUAAAUGUAAUUGGUGUUUAUAAUUACAUCCCAGUCAGCUAGUUAUUAAUGGUUAUAAAGAUAAAUACUUAUAAAACUAACUUUCCGAAAUUUUCUUCUUUUUCCUGCUUUAUUUAGGUAUAAUUGACAAAUAAAAAUUACAUAUUUUGUAUGUUGAUCAAAGGGUACAAACUUACAGUUAUGAAAUGAAUACGUUCUGGAGACCUAAUGUACAGCAUGGUUAAUAGCAAUGUAUUAUAUACUUGAAAUUUGCUAAGAGUAGAUCUUAAGUAAUCUCACCACAUACACACACAAGGUAAUUAUGUGAGGUGAUGGAUAUGUUAAUUAGCUUGAUUGUGGUAAUCAUUUCACAGUAUAAAUAUAUCAAAACAUCACGUUGUAUUCCUUAAAUAUAUAUAACUUUAAACUUUCAUUUAUAUAAUUUUAGGUAUAAUUUGGGCGACUACAACGGAGAAAUCAUGUCUGAGGUUAUGGCACAGAGACAGCCAAUGAAACCUACUUAUGCCAUCCCCAUCAUCCCUAUUACUAAUAGCAGUCAAUUUAAACACCAGGAAGCAAUGGAUGUGAAGGAGUUCAAAGUUAAUAAGCAAGAUAAAGCCGAUCUUAUCCGACCGAAACGGAAAUAUGAAAAGAAGCCCAAAGUCUUACCAUCGUCUGCCGCUGCUACUCCCCAACAGACGAGUCCUGCUGCACUGCCAGUCUUCAAUGCUAAAGAUCUGAAUCAGUAUGACUUUCCCAGCUCAGACGAAGAACCUCUCUCCCAGGUUUUGUCUGGCUCUUCAGAAGCUGAGGAAGACAAUGAUCCUGAUGGCCCUUUUGCUUUCCGUAGGAAAGCAGGCUGUCAGUACUAUGCUGUAAGUUUCAGACUGUCUUUGUAAAUAACAAACUAUUUACCUUUAACUGACAAAAUUAAAUAAUUUGGAUUUUUUUUUUUAAGCCUCACUUAGACCAAACUGGCAAUUGGCCUUGGACUAGUCCUAAAGAUGGAGGAUUAGGGGAUGUGCGAUACAGAUACUGCUUAACUACUCUCACCGUACCCCAAAGGUGUAUUGGAUUUGCACGAAGACGGGUUGGGCGCGGUGGAAGGUAAGGUAUUUCUGUAUUCCUAGCAGAAGGAUAUUUUAGGCAUUAGGGUGAUUGAAUCUAACUUUUAAAAUCCCUCUGAACAACUCAUUAGUUCCCAUUUGCUAUUCUUAACUGAUUUGUUGACUAAAAUAUUUUUGUUGCUGUGCUACCUGGUUCUUAUACAUCCAUAGCUUUUGACAACUCUAAUGGGUCCCUAGUGGACCUGCUUUUCUCCCCAAGGUGGAAAACCUCAGGUAAAUUAUCAAGGGGUAGAAUUGUGAGAAAAGGCAACAGAUGAAGACAAGUGUAAAUCCUGAUUGCACACAGUGUAUUAAGUUAAAGAAACUGCAAAAAAAGUUGUUUCACACUAGCUAGCAUAAUGGGUUUAACUGACAAUGAAAAGGAUCCAUGCAUAACCUGAUCUUGACAUCCCAGUUUGUCAGGAUCUAAUUGUUCUUCCUUUGUUUAAACCUUGUAGAAUUCCUUCCUUCAUACUUUAAAUGCCUUUAUGCGAGAAGUUGUUUGUAUGGGGACAGGAAACAAAUAGCAAAACACAUAAACUCAAGGAAUGGAGAGACGUUAAUGUAUAAUGUACGGGGAAAAUUAAAAGGGAAAGCAAAUAAUGGUAUCAGGGUGCUUUUUCAGGAAGAAACCCAAGGGUAUCUUUAUGAUAAACUAAUGGCUUAUGCAUAUAUUUUUUUCAUCUUUAACUCUUAAUUGCAGAGGGUUUUUUUUUAUUAUUUAAACAUUGGUUAAGAAUUAUCUAGGCACUAAAAUACAUUUUAUUUAGUCCGUUUUUUUCCAUCACUGUGUUGACAUCAGGAGCAGUGAAAAUUCUCUAUGUUAGCUAUAUUUUAUUCUAUUACUAACAUUAAUCAGUGUUAUUAUUUUGACUUGGAGCCAUUUAUAAUGCUUAUAUAAAUAACAUAAGAGGCCAGGCAUGGUGGCUCACACCUGUAAUCCCACCCAGCAAUUAGGGAGGCCAAGGUGGGUGGAUCACUUGAGGUCAGGAGUUUGAGACCAGCCUGGCCAACAUGGGGAAACACUGUCUCCACUAAAAACACAAAAAUUAUCUGGGCAUGGUGGCAGGUGCCUGUAAUCUCAGCUACUUGGGAGGCUGAGGCAGGAGAAUCACUUGAACCCCGGGGCAGAGGUUGCAGUGAGCCAAGAUCGCACUAUUGCACUCCAGUCUGGGUGACAGAGUAAAACUCCAUCUCAAUCAAUCAAUCAAUAACAUAAGAAUAUAUCCUCUAGAGUAGUGGAUCUCAAAUAUUUUAUCUAUAAGAAAUGUUAAUGGUAUAUACUAUGUUUUUUGUUGCUUUUCUUCUCUCUUCUCCCUUUCCCCCACAAAGGAAUGAAGUUUUUGCUUAAAUAUAGAAUAAAUGUGUUUGCAACAUUUUAUAAAGCAUUCAUUUUGGUGCUUUGUAAUGGAAGUGAAAAUCUUUGGUUGAAAAACAAUUUGUUAAAAGAACUUUUAUUAGAAAUUGAAGUUGUAGCCUAUAAGAACCAAAUACUAAGAUAAUCAACUUUAAAGCUUUUAAAUAUUCAGUAUGAGUUGGCCUUUUGGCAGUUGGGGGGAAAAAGAAAAAGCUUUAAUAUAUAAUCUUUGAAUAGCUAUUUUAAAUAACUGUUUCUUGUCUGAUUUUUUAAUAGGGUCUUACUGGACAGAGCUCAUUCAGACUAUGACAGUGUGUUUCACCAUCUGGAUUUGGAAAUGCUUUCCUCACCACAACAUUCUCCAGUCAAUCAGUUUGCCAAUACCUCAGAAACAAAUACCUCGGACAAAUCUUUCUCUAAAGACCUCAGUCAGAUACUAGUCAAUAUCAAAUCACGUAGAUGGCGGCAUUUUAGGCCUCGGACACCAUCCCUACAUGACAGUGACAAUGAUGAACUCUCCUGUAGAAAAUUAUAUAGGAGUAUAAACCGAACAGGAACAGCACAACCUGGGACCCAGACAUGCAGUACCUCUACGCAAAGUAAAAGUAGCAGUGGUUCAGCACACUUUGGUAUGUUGACUGUUAUGAUGUACAUUUCUACAGAAAUGUCAGGUCCAACCAUUUGCCAUUUGUUUGACUAUGUGGUCUGUUACAUUUAUGGCUUAAAGUCCUUUUCUCUUAAACAGGUAAAAAAAAACCACAAAAAACAGAUCUUGGUCUAAGUAUUUAUUUGAAUCCUGUUCCUGUAGGAGUUUGUAUGUGUGUGUCUUCAUUUAAACAUACCUGCAUACAAAGAUGGUUUAUUUCUAUUUAAUAUGUGACAUUUGUUUCCUGGAUAUAGUCCGUGAACCACGAGAUUUAUCAUAUUUUUCAAUAAUAUGAGAAGAAAAUGGGCCGUAAAUUGUUAACCAGUUUAUGUUCAGAUAUUUCUCUAGUUUUUACCUAGUCUGCUUUAACGUAGAGACCAGCAAGUGAAUAUAUAUGCAUAACCUUAUAUGCUGACACAAUAAAUCAGAAUAAUUUAUUAAAGUUAAACUAAUUUUUCAGAGAAGAACAUUUAAAGGGUUAAUGUUUUUGAAACGUUUUCAGAUAUCUAUUUGAUUAUUGUGGCUUCUAUUUGAAAUGUGUCUAAAAUAAAUGCUGUUUAUUUAAAAUAUUCCUAUAAUCUUAGCUGUCUGUUUUAAAGCAUAAGUUUGUGUUAUUUGAAGCAUAUAUAUUGUAGAAAUUCACUAUUGAGUUAUGUUACUACUGAUUUUUGUGAAGGUAAUCUAAGGACUAUGAAGAUAUUUAUUGUUCCCCUAAUUCACCCUGUAGGGUUAUAGUUAAGUUGCUUCAUAAAUAUCAACAUUUGCUCUGAUUCUUAAAGAUCUCCAGAAAAUGUUCCGGAAACUAAUUUACUUGGUGGUUAAAAAAAAAGUACAGUUGACCCCUGAACAACAUAAGAGUUAGAGGCCCCCCCAUGCAAUUCAAAAUUCAUGUAUAACUUUUGACUCCCCAAAAACUUUACUAAUAGUCUGCUCCUGACCAGAAUUACGAAUAACAUAAACAGUCCAUUAGUCCAUUAACAUAAACAGUCCAAACAUACAUGUUUUGUAUGUUAUAUGUAUUCUGUACUAUAUUCUUAAAAUAAGCUAGGAAAAAGAACAUGUUAUUAAGAAAUUUAUAGAGCCAGGCAUGGUGGCUCAUGCCUGUAAUCCCAGCACUUUGGGAGACUAAAGUGGGCAGAUUGCUUGAGCCCAGGAGUUCAAGACCAGUCUGGACAACAUGGUGAAACCCCAUCUCUACAAAAAAUGCAAAAAUUAGCUGGGUGUGGUGGUGAGCGCCUGUAGUCUCAGCUACUCAGGAGACUGAGGUGGUAGGAGCCCAGAAGGUCAAGGCUGCAGUGAGCCAAGAUCGUGCCACUGCAUUCCAGCCUUCACAGCAAAGCAAAACCCUGUUUCAAAAAAAAAAGAAAUUCAUAAAGGAGAGAAAAUGCAUUUACUAAUCAUUAAGUGUAAGUGGAUCAUCAUAAAGGUCUUUAUCCUCAUCAUCUUCACAUUGAGGAGGAGGAGGGGUUGGUCUUGUCGUCUGAGGGGUGACAGAGGCAGAAGAUAAUUUACAAAUAAGUGGACCCAGGCAGUUCAAACCCAUGUUAUUCAAGGGUCAGCUGUACUUCCAUGAAAUGGAAGUCUUUCAGCUCAUGAGAAAAAUAAUCACAAUUCAGAAAUCAACUGGAAGAUAAAGCUAUUUUAGGGCCUAACAGCUUAUUUAUAAUCCCAUUAAUGUUACUGUCUUUUAUCACCAAAAGCCAAUUUCUCUCUACUUCUAUAGUCUUAAGAAUCAAAAUAAAGAACUUUUCAAUGAAGACUUACAUAUAGUGUUAGUGUAGAGGUUUUAACAUUAUAAACCUCUCAUAGGUUACCCUGAUAAUUAAGCUUUCUACGCUGUAAAAAAUUCUUUGAGACUUCUCAGAAAAUAGGCAUGUUCCAUCAAUCUCUAUCUUCUCCACCCCUUAAAUAGAGAAGUUGAAGUGUAUAAGUAUCCUAAAUAUUUAAGGAUUUUAUAAUGCUCUUUUUUUAUGAAAAACGUUUUGCUGUACUACUUUAGGCGUAUUAAUAACAGUUGUAAAACUUGGUUGAUUUGUGUUUGCCAAAGAACAUUAAAAGAUGAGCAUUACCAAAAGCUUAGCUGAAAAGAAAUCAUUAGUAACCUUGUAAUUUUUCUUCUUUAUCAUUUCUUUCCUCCAUAUAUGCGAUACAACUAUUUAUUUAUUUAUUUAAGACAGGAUCUUUCUCUGUCACCCAGACUGGAGUACAGUGGCACAGUCAUGGCUCACUGCAGCCUCAACUUCCCAGGCUCAGUGAUCCCCCCACCUCAGCCUCCUGGGUAGCUAGGAUUGCAGGCGUAUGCCACCAUGACUGGCUAAUUUUUUGUAAGAGACAGGGUCUCUCUAUGUUGCCCAGGCUAGUCUUGAACUCCUGGCCUCAAGUGAUCCUCCUGCCUUGGCCUCCCAAAGUGCUAGGGUUACAGGGGUGAGCCACUGCACCCAGCCUCAAUACUACUUUUUAAAAAUGAGUUUAUCUAUUUUUUUUCCUGUUGUCUUCAUUAUUUUCAAUUUCUCUUUAAAUUUCGCUAGAUCUUCUAAUACUUAGAGGAUAGAUACCUACAGAAUACUGUAGGGUAACACUGUUCAUUUAUAUUUCUGAAUCUUCCAGAGACCUAAAGCUUUUCUCUGCAUACUCUAUAAAGUAUAUUACAAUGCACCCAUAUCAUAAGUGCAUUUCACUUAAUCCAACUCCAGGCCCCUGAAGAAGAAAAAAGAAAAUUUAGGCCAAGCGUGGUGGCUCAUGCCUGUAAUCCCAGCACUUUGGGAGGCCGAGGCAGGCGGAUCACCUGAGGUCAGGAGUUCCACACUAGCUUGGCUAAUAUGGCGAAACCUGG
rnacentral:sRNA from 1 species